GAUGAACGCUGGCGGCGUGCCUAAUACAUGCAAGUCGAGCGAACGGACGAGAAUCUUGCUUCUCUGCUGUUAGCGGCGGACGGGUGAGUAACACGUGGAUAACCUACCUAUAUGUCUUUGAUAACUUCGUGAAACCUUAUCUCAUACCGGUUAAUAUUUUGAACCGCUUGGUUCAAAAGUUAUAUACGGUCUUGCUUUCCCUUAUAGAUUUUUCCGCGCUGCAUUAGCUUGUUGGUAAGGUAACGGCUUACCAAGGCAACGAUGCAUAUCCGACCUGAGAGGGUGAUCGGCCACACUGGAAGGGAGACACGGUCCAGACGCCUACGGGAGGCAGCAGUAGGGAAUAUUGGGCAAUGGGCGAAAGCCUGACGGAGCAACGCCGCGUGAGUGAUGAAGGUCUUCGGAUCGUAAAACUCUGUUAGUAGGGAAGAACAUAAGUGUAAGAAACUGUGCACAUAUUGACGGUACCUAAAAAGAAAGCCACGGCUAACUACGUG
rnacentral:rRNA from 1 species